rnacentral:rRNA from 1 species
UACGAAGGGGGCUAGCGUUGUUCGGAAUUACUGGGCGUAAAGCGCGCGCAGGCGGUCUUCCAAGUCAGUGGUGAAAGCCCGGAGCUCAACUCCGGAAUUGCCAUUGAAACUGUUAGACUUGAGGAUGAGAGAGGUGAGUGGAAUUCCCAGUGUAGAGGUGAAAUUCGUAGAUAUUCGGAAGAACACCAGUGGCGAAGGCGACACACUGGCUCACUACUGACGCUGAGGCGCGAAAGCGUGGGGAGCAAACAGG